rnacentral:rRNA from 1 species
AGAGUUUGAUCCUGGCUCAGGACGAACGCUGGCGGCGUGCCUAACACAUGCAAGUCGAGCGGGAAGCUUUUUGUGGCGGCUUCGGCCAAAGCAGAAAGUGGAGAGCGGCGGACGGGUGAGUAACGCGUGAGUAACCUGCCCAUAAGAGGGGGAUAACACUCGGAAACGGGUGCUAAUACCGCAUAACAUAUUGAAAUCGCCUGGUUUUGAUAUCAAAGAUUUAUCGCUUAUGGAUGGACUCGCGUCCAAUUAGCUAGUAGGCGGGGUAACGGCCCACCUAGGCGACGAUUGGUAGCCGAACUGAGAGGUUGAUCGGCCACAUUGGGACUGAGACACGGUCCAGACUCCUACGGGAGGCAGCAGUGAGGAAUAUUGGACAAUGGCCGGAAGGCUGAUCCAGCCAUGCCGCGUGCGGGAGGACGGCCCUAUGGGUUGUAAACCGCUUUUGCGAGGGAGCAAUAAGGUCUACGUGUGGACUGAUGAGAGUACCUUGCGAAUAAGCAUCGGCUAACUCCGUGCCAGCAGCCGCGGUAAUACGGAGGAUACAAGCGUUAUCCGGAUUUAUUGGGUUUAAAGGGUGCGUAGGCGGUACGCUAAGCGGGAGGUGAAAUGCCGGCGCUCAACGUCGGAAGUGCCUCCCGAACUGGCGUACUUGAAUGACUCUGCCGUGGGAGGAAUGUGUAGUGUAGCGGUGAAAUGCUUAGAGAUUACACAGAACACCGAUUGCGAAGGCAUCUCACGAAGGGUUGAUUGACGCUGAGGCACGAAAGCGUGGGGAUCAAACAGGAUUAGAUACCCUGGUAGUCCACGCA